CCUACGGGCGGCAGCAGUGAGGAAUAUUGGUCAAUGGGCGAGAGCCUGAACCAGCCAAGUAGCGUGAAGGAUGACUGCCCUACGGGUUGUAAACUUCUUUUAUAAAGGAAUAAAGUGAGGCAAGUGUGCCUUUUUGUAUGUACUUUAUGAAUUAGGAUCGGCUAGCUCCGUGCCAGCAGCCGUGGUAAUCCGGAGGAUCCGAGCGUUAUCCGGAGUUAUUGGGUUUAAAGGGAGCGUAGAUGGGUUGUUAAGUCAGGUGUGAAAGUUUGCGGCUCAACCGUAAAAUUGCAAUUGAUACUGGGAGACUAGAGUACAGGUGAGGUAGGCGGAAUUCGUGGUGUAGCAGUGAAAUGCUUAGAUAUCACGAAGAACACUGAUGGCGAAGGCAGCUUACUAAACUUCCACUGACAUUGAGGCUCGAAAGUGAGGGGAUCAAACAGGAUUAGAUACCCUGGUAGUC
rnacentral:rRNA from 1 species